rnacentral:rRNA from 1 species
AUUGAACGCUGGCGGCAUGCUUUACACAUGCAAGUCGAACGGCAGCGCGGGCUUCGGCCUGGCGGCGAGUGGCGAACGGGUGAGUAAUGCAUCGGAACGUGCCCAGUAGUGGGGGAUAGCCCGGCGAAAGCCGGAUUAAUACCGCAUACGACCUGAGGGUGAAAGCGGGGGACCGAAAGGCCUCGCGCUAUUGGAGCGGCCGAUGUCGGAUUAGCUAGUUGGUGGGGUAAAGGCUUACCAAGGCGACGAUCCGUAGCUGGUCUGAGAGUACGACCAGCCACACUGGGACUGAGACACGGCCCAGACUCCUACGGGAGGCAGCAGUGGGGAAUUUUGGACAAUGGGGGCAACCCUGAUCCAGCCAUGCCGCGUGCGGGAAGAAGGCCUUCGGGUUGUAAACCGCUUUUGUUCGGGAAGAAAUCCUCUGGGCUAAUACCCCGGGGGGAUGACGGUACCGGAAGAAUAAGCACCGGCUAACUACGUG